AUCUGGUCAGAACGAACGCUGGCGGCGCGUUUAAGCAUGCAAGUCGAGCGGCAAGGGCCUUCGGGCCCCUAGAGCGGCGGACGGGUGAGUAACACGUGGACAAUCUGCCCCCCGGCCCGGGAUAGCCCAGGGAAACCUGGAUUAAUACCGGAUGAGACGGGACCCGCGAUGGCGGGACCCGGGAAAGGCGCUGCGGCGCCGCCGGGGGAUGAGUCUGCGUCCCAUUAGCUAGACGGCGGGGUAACGGCCCACCGUGGCGACGAUGGGUAGCCGGCCUGAGAGGGUGGACGGCCACAUUGGAACUGAGACACGGUCCAGACUCCUACGGGAGGCAGCAGCUAAGAAUCUUCCGCAAUGGGCGAAAGCCUGACGGAAGCGACGCCGCGUGAACGAAGAAGGCCGUGAGGUUGUAAAGUUCUUUUCGGGAGGGGGAACAACCGUGGCAGGGAAUGGCCGCGGGAUGACGUGAAUCCCGGAAUAAGCCCCGGCUAACUACGUGCCAGCCGCGGC
rnacentral:rRNA from 1 species